rnacentral:misc_RNA from 1 species
CUGAAAAUACUUUUGCCUUCACCACUGUUCACAGCCGAUUAAAGUCUAAAUAUAACUGGUCAAAUGAGGCUAAUAGAUACAAUAACAGUUAUACUUUCGAGUGAUGGGAUAGUUUAAGACUUUUGCUAUAGCUGUGCAAGCAAGUCACGAAGAUAAGCUAAUUAAGGCUAGAAUAAGGAAAUAAAACAGGGAGAGUCCACAGAUCAAAUGUAUGUGUGUAGACUAGCAUUAUGAUGAAGUCCCAGGUGAACAAAACUCUACUGAGAAAUGUUAUCCGUCACACAGAUGCUCAUAACAAGGUUGUGGAAGAAGCAGAAAUGUGGCGUCAACAUUUAUCUCAAAAAUCAGCAUCCAGGAGCCAAUCAGAUUUCAGAAGCAGAAAGGAAUCAGACACUAGAUCUGGGAACCAAUCAGAAUCUCAAAGCAAGCAUCCAUUAGACCGUGGCGAUGAUCGCUCUUACCUGAAAUACGAUAGCUUUGAUAAGAAAAGGAAAUAUGCAAGACAUGCACACAUGGAUGAUGAAGAUAGGAACAGUCCAAUUAGGGGUGAGAGGGAUAACUACUGGGAGAGACAGCUAUUAGACGCAAAAGAAAAGGACCCAGAUAGAUGGGGUCAUAGUGGUUACAAAGAGCUUUACAAAGAAGACUUCAGUUCUCAAAGAUCAAGCAGGAUAAAUGGCAGUGACUCACCAUUGAAAAGGAAAAAGUCCAAGAAGUCAAAAUUGAAGAAGAAAAAGAAGAAAUCAAAGAAAAGGAAAUUUGAAUCUUAUUCUGACUCUGACAGUGAAAGUGAACUCACACGAUCUGAACAAAGGAAACGUAAACGAAAUUGUCAAUCUGAAGACUCUUCAAGUGCUGAUUCCUCUCAAACCUCCAGAUCUCGGUCAAAAAAUAAAACGUCUAAAAGAUCUCCAAGUUCUAGUCCCGAUCUUGCAAAACUCAAGAGAUGGAAAGAGCACAUUCAUCGUAAAAUUGCAAAGGAGGAACAUUAUGUUAAAAAAGAAAUCAGGAAAAAUCGUGGGAGAAAUCAAAAAUAUUCAUUAAAGGUUAAGCGUGAAACACAAGAUGGUAGUGGUUCAAAUUCAAUGAAAAGGUCAUAUUCAAAAGAGACAUCAGACUCUGAAAGAAGGUCUCACUCUAGAGAAAGGUCAUAUUUAAAUGAAAGGUUCAAUUCAAACAAAAGUUCAACAAAGAGAUUAAAAAAUGCAGUUUCAAAACAAAGGUCAUUUUCAAGAGAAAGGACAUAUUCAAGAGAAAGGUCAUAUUCAAAUGAAAGGUCAUUGAGGAAAACAUCAGUUUCUGAAGGAUCAAAAAGGUCAAAAAGUUUUAGAAAAAGGCAUUAUUCUAGAAGUCCAUAUUCAAGAGAAAGGUCAAUAUCUGACUGACAUUUAAUUUUUUCAUAUUGACCAUAAGAAUUAGGGAUUUCAAGAAAUACUGGAUAAAUUGCAUUUAUUCUGAAUUUAGCUUUGAAUAUUUACUCAGAUAUGUAUUCUAACAUUAUUGGCAUGAUUGUUGACUUAUUUUAGUAAUUGUAGUGAAUUGUAGUGGUAAACUUUUUCUAAAAUUAACAAAGUCAUUUCUGAGCCACAAUAUAUUUUUUUAUCUCAUUUU